GACGAACGCUGGCGGCGUGCCUAAUACAUGCAAGUCGCACGAGAGCGACCGGUGCUUGCACUGUUCACUCUAGCGGCGGACGGGUGGGUAACACGUGGGUAACCUGCCCACCAGAGGGGGAUAACAUCCGGGACCGGAUGCUAACACCGCCUAGGUCUUCUAGCCGCAUGGCUUGCAGAUGAAACGAGGCGCAAGCCUCUGCUGAUGGAGGGACCGGCGGUGCAUUAGCACGUUGGGGUGGCAACGCCUCACCAAGGCCGUGAUGCAGAGCCGACCUGAGAUGAGGAGCAGCCACACUGCAACGGAGCCGCGGCACGAACUCCUAUGGGAGGCAGCAGUGGAGAAUCUUCCGCUAUUGACGCAAGGCUGACGGAGCACCGCCGCGUGAGUGAAAAAGGUUUUCGGAUCGUAGUACUCUGUUGUUAGUGAGGAGCGAGUGCGAGGGUAACUGUUAGCGCCUUGACGGUACCGAACCAAUAAGCCACGGCUAACUACGUG
rnacentral:rRNA from 1 species